rnacentral:rRNA from 1 species
UAGCAAUACUUUUGGUGGCGACCGGCGCACGGGUGAGUAACGCGUAUGCAACCCAUCUAUCAGAGGGGAAUAACCCGGCGAAAGUCGGACUAAUACCGCAUAAAACAGGGACACCGCAUGGUGAUAUUUGUUAAAGAAAUUCGCUGAUAGAUGGGCAUGCGUUCCAUUAGGUAGUUGGUGAGGUAACGGCUCACCAAGCCGACGAUGGAUAGGGGAACUGAGAGGUUGGUCCCCCACACUGGUACUGAGACACGGACCAGACUCCUACGGGAGGCAGCAGUGAGGAAUAUUGGUCAAUGGGCGAGAGCCUGAACCAGCCAAGUCGCGUGAAGGAAGAAGGAUCUAUGGUUCGUAAACUUCUUUUGCAGGGGAAUAAAGUGCAGGACGUGUCCUGUUUUGUAUGUACCCUGAGAAUAAGGAUCGGCUAACUCCGUGCCAGCAGCCGCGGUAAUACGGAGGAUCCGAGCGUUAUCCGGAUUUAUUGGGUUUAAAGGGUGCGUAGGUGGUUUGAUAAGUCAGCGGUGAAAGUUUGCAGCUUAACUGUAAAAAUGCCGUUGAAACUGUCGGACUUGAGUGUAAAUGAGGUAGGCGGAAUGCGUGGUGUAGCGGUGAAAUGCUUAGAUAUCACGAAGAACUCCGAUUG